GCCCCCAUGCACCGGGGGGGUGGGAAUCCCACCCGGCCCCACGACCCCCCCCAAAAAUAUGGGGGCAGAGCCACACAGCUUGGUGCUGGGCGGAGGGGUUGGGUUAGGGUUAGGGUUGGGGUUAGGGGCAGGGGUAGGGUUAGGGUCAGGAUUAGGGUUAGGGUUGGGGUUGGGGUCGGGGUCAGGGUUAGGGUCAGGGUUAGGGAUAGGGUCACGGUUAGGGUCCAGGUAAGGGUCAGGAUUGGGGUUAGGGUCAGGGUUAGGGUCAGGGUUAGGGUCAGGGUCAGGGUUAGGGUUAGGGUUAGGGUCGGGGUCAGGGUUAGGGGUCAGGGUUAGGGUCAGGGUUAGGGUUUGGGUCAGGGUUGGACU
rnacentral:lncRNA from 1 species